rnacentral:rRNA from 1 species
GAUCAUGGCUCAGGAUAAACGCUGGCGGCGCACAUAAGACAUGCAAGUCGAACGAACUUAACCAUUAGUUUACUAUUGGAGCGGUUAGUGGCGGACUGGUGAGUAACACGUAAGCAACCUGCCUAUCAGAGGGGGAACAACAGUUAAGAAAUGACUGCUAAUACCGCAUAUGCCUUAGAAUCACAUGGUUCAAAAGGGAAAGGAGCAAUCCGCUGAUAGAUGGGCUUGCGU